rnacentral:rRNA from 1 species
GAUCUCUUUGAGGCCCGUUAUCGGAAUGAGAACAAUUCAAAUCCUUUGACGAGGAUCUAGCGGAGGGGUAGUCUGGUGCCAGCAGCCGCGGUAAUUCCAGCUCCGCAGGUGUAUAUAUAUGCUGCUGCGGUUAAAAAGCUCGUAGUUGGAUCUGCGUGCUCGGAACUGGUUGGCUCACUGGGUUCAAACUGGUCUCCGGCGCUUUAUUGCUGGUUUUCCCUUGAUGCUCUUAACCGGGUGUCUUGGGUGGCUAGCACGUUUACCUUGAAAAAAUUAGAGUGCUCAAUACAGGCGUAAAGCCUUGAAUAGUGGUGCAUGGAAUAAUAGAAUAGGACCUCGGCUCUAUUCUGUUGGUUUUCGGAACGCGAGGUAAUGAUUAAGAGGGACAGACGGGGCAUUCGUAUUGCGACGUUAGAGGUGAAAUUCUUGGAUCGUCGCAAGACGGACGACUGCGAAAGCAUUAGCCAAGAAUGUUUUCAUUAAUCAAGAACGAAAGUUAGAGGUUCGAAGGCGAUCAGAUACCGCCCUAGUUCUAACCGUAAACGAUGCCAACUAGCGAUUCGCAGGCGUUAAACAACGACCUUGCGGGCAGCUUCCCGGAAACGAAAGUGUUCGGGUUCCGGGGGAAUAUGGUUGCAAAGCUGAAACUUAAAGGAAUUGACGGAAGGGCACCACCAGGAGUGGAGCCUGCGGCUUAAUUUGACCCAACACGGGAAAACUCACCCGGCCCGGACACCGUAAGGAUUGACAGAUUGAGAGCUCUUUCUUGAUUCGGUGGGUGGUGGUGCAUGGCCGUUCUUAGUUGGUGGAGCGAUUUGUCUGGUUUAUUCCGAUAACGAACGAGACUCUGGCCUACUAAAUAGUGGGCGGAUUCUUUCUGUCCGCAACACUUCUUAGAGGGACAAGCGGUGUUCAGCCGCACGAGAUUGAGCAAUAACAGGUCUGUGAUGCCCUUAGAUGUCCGGGGCUGCACGCGCGCUACACUGAAGGAAUCAGCGUGCUUUCUGACCUUGCCCGAAAGGGCUGGGUAACCCGAUGAAAAUCCUUCGUGAUUGGGAUAGGGACUUGCAAUUAUUUCUCUUGAACGAGGAAUUCCCAGUAAGUGUGGGUCAUAGGCUCGCGUUGAUUACGUCCCUGUCCUUUGUACACACCGCCCGUCGCUGCCCGGAACUGAGCCGUUUCGAGAAGAACAGGGACCGUCGUUGAAGGGCCUUAACGGGCUUUUCUCUGAUAGAAACUGUU